rnacentral:lncRNA from 1 species
AUAUUGUUCAUACAUUGAUAUUCUCCAAGUCGUAUAAAUAUUGAAUCGUGUUUUCUGUUUUAUGUGUUUCUCCCUCAGGCUUUAAACUUUAGAAAAAAGAAGAGCUUAAAAAAGCAUGUAAGUCAUUGGAUCCAUCUUUAGUUGUGAAAUUGAUGGCAGCUUUAUUCAAACCUGAUCAAAAUGGUUCCUAAAAUGAAUGUUUGUGGACACAUUUUGAGUGAACACCUGUGCUUAAAACACUUGGAUACUAUUGAAGGUGACCAACAUGGUAGCACAGUGCAGUGCUGCUCCCCUGUGUUCAAUUCCAAGCCUGGGGUGCUAUCUGCAAAAAGUUUGUAUGUUAGAAAGAAGCAGUUAGAAAAUGGAUGGAUGAAGCUGACCAAACACAUGUUUUUCUGGACUAAAGGCACAGACCAGCACCCAGACCAGCUGUUUAAUCAUCGAAAAAGGAUGGAUUCAUACCACAGAUGUAAGAAACACAC